AGUGAACGCUGGCGGCAGGCCUAAUACAUGCAAGUCGAACGGCAGCACAGCAGAGCUUGCUCUGUGGGUGGCGAGUGGCGGACGGGUGAGGAAUACAGUGGGAAUCUGCCCAGUCGUGGGGGAUAACGUAUGGAAACGUACGCUAAUACCGCAUGGCGCCCUACGGGGGAAAGCCGGGGACCGCAAGGCCUGGCGCGAUUGGAUGAGCCCAUGUUCGAUUAGCUAGUUGGCGGGUAAAGGCCCACCAAGGCGACGAUCGAUAGCUGGUCUGAGAGGAUGAUCAGCCACACUGGAGCUGAGACACGGUCCAGACUCCUACGGGAGGCAGCAGUAGGGAAUAUUGGACAAUGGGGGCAACCCUGAUCCAGCCAUGCCGCGUGAGUGAAGAAGGCCCU
rnacentral:rRNA from 1 species